rnacentral:rRNA from 1 species
GGUAGCAUAACCAUAAGUCUUUUAAUUGGAGACUGGUAUGAAUGGUCAAACGAGAAAUCGACUUUUUUUGUUGUAAAGCUUGAAUUUAACUUUUUAGUGAAAAGGCUAAAAUUUUUCAAAAAGACGAGAAGACCCUAUAGAGUUUUAUAAUCAGGGGAAUAUCUUUCUCAUGGAUUUUUAUGAGAGGUAUUUACUUCAUUUAUUUUGUUGGGGCGACAUUUAGAUAUAAAAAACUCUUUAUUUUUUAAACUUUAAUAAAAGGUGGAUUGAUCCUUUAAAAAAGAUCAUAAGAAAAAAUUACCUUAGGGAUAACAGCGUAAUCUUUUUUGAGAGUUCUAAUCGACAAAAAGGUUUGCGACCUCGAUGUUGGACUAAAAUUAAGGCAGGGU